rnacentral:tmRNA from 1 species
GGGGACGUUUUGGAUUAGACAGGAUGUUUGGUGGUAAUAUGUGGCGGGUCGGAGCGCUGUUCUCCGUCAUCAACGAGCAAAACAAAUUAAGUGCUAACAAUGUAAGAAAAGUAGACUUCGCCGGUGCUUACGCAUUAGCUGCCUAGUCUAUAUUAGCCACCCAUAAAGCCCAGCUUGCCGGUUUUAUGGGUCCAUUAUGCAAGCGGCAAUGUAUUGAUGCAAAGUAAAUACACCAAGUUGACUUUGCAAGGUUUAGAGUUUCCUUUAAAUAAAACCUGGGGCUGAUUCGUAUGGUUUAGAUAUUUCCCUGAAUCAGUUGAGCAAAAAAUUAUCUACACUCGUAGAAAUAUGUUGUCAUCCAUUUUGGACGUGGGUUCGACUCCCACCGUCUCCACCA